rnacentral:lncRNA from 12 species
AAACAGUAACAUUCAGAGACUAAAGGCAGCCAAAUUUAACCAAUAUGGCAGGGGGAAAAAACUUGCAAAAUCACUUUUGGAUAUACUUCAUUUCCAAAGAUUGAUUAUGUUAUUAGCUUCUUCUAGAUGAUGAAAACCAUUUCUCUGUAAAAAUAUUUGUGUGCAUGGAAUGCAAGACUUAGGGAAUUCAAACACAUUUAUAAAAUAAAAAUGUCUUUCAUUUUCCAGGAUCCUGGGAUUGAGGAGCAGCAUUUUAUUGAACUCACAGAGGCCUGGGAAUUCCAUUUUUUUACAUGGUACAACAGAUCAUUCGUGAAAGCCAAAGUUGCAAAUGGAGAGGUGAGAACCGAAGACUAACCAAGCUCUGAGGACGAAAGUCUUCCAUGGCAGCACUUAGAAGGGCCGCUAAAAUAGUGACACUUUGAGAAAACACUGGUGAAAGCUUACUCAAGAUACGAACAGAGAACGUGGCAAAAAGAGCAGUUCAAUAAAUUAGUAAGUUGUGUUCUACUUAAACA